CUUUGUAUGAAACAGGAAACAGUGCAGUAUUAGGGGCUGUACUCCUGUUUACAAAUAAGAAAUGUUUAUGUUGGGGAAAGGAUGUGAUCUUCGGAGACUAUAUAUUGAAAACAUUGUAACAGAAGUUUGCACCUCGGGUGAAGACUUUCUCAUCUUUAUGUUCUGUUUUUUAUUCUGGGAAAAAAAGGGUUAUGAUCAGGAAAGAGCUUUAGCAUUAGCUAGAGCAUUAAUAUUAGGAAAGUUUUCCAGUGCCGGAGAGACCGAAACGGGAAGACCUGAAAAUGGACGCCGAUGUAGUAUUGUUUCUGCACCAUACGCUGGGAAGAGUGUGAAUGAAUCACAAAACCAUUUCUUCCUCAUAAAGACUACAUUGAGAUGUAUAUUGCUUUCUGUUCCUGAAAGCAUUAAGUUGACUGAAACUUCUAGAAUAAUAGUGACAUAUAGUGACACAGUCAAAUCUGAAAGCCUCCAAACCAUUAUGCUUCCAGAAUUCCAUCUUCCAACAUACAAAGUAUGCAGUGACUCUUUAUCUGGUUUUCCCAAAAUAUAUUGUGUUUUCUUCACUGGGCCGAGCAGAUGUUUGCCUGAGGUUCAAAUACCGGAAAAUAAGUGAAAAUUAUGCACAGGUCUGUUUUAUUUUUCUUAACAGGACAACAGGUUAUAUGGCAAGUCUACUCACUUCAUCUGUUGACGAUUUACUGUGGUCACAGCUGCCAUAUGCGUCAUGGUGACUCCCUUGGUUUGUCCAGUUGUAUUCAAGGCAAAACAUGACCAGCAGCUUGUAACUAUAAAUAUAUAUUUUGAGGAUGGUUCCCAAGAGGCUUGAGAUUAUUUAUAUGACACAGAUACAUUAACCAUAUCAUUUUUGGUAAUCAUGUCAUUGUAAAGAUCUCAAGACAAAAGCUGAAUCAGAUCCACAUAAUCCAGGCCAAAUAUUUAUGAAUUUUAAAAGAGGUUCUGGAAACAGUCAAUGCUGACACAAUCUACAAAGAGGUUUCUGUCAGAACUGCUCCUUUUGGCCAAACUAAACACUGGGAUGAGCAGACACAGUUUUGUGUUCUGCUUAUUUUGGAAUACAAACAAUAUGCUUAGGUCACAUCCCAAAGAGCUAAUAUAUGUGCAAAUAUUAUUUAAAUUUGCUCGUCAAAUAGGCUACAAGCUUAUCAAAUAGCUACAUUUAUGCUCUUACACCUAAGGGUUUUGAAGAAGUUGUUUUACUUUAAGAAUUUGACCUUUUUGUUACAUACGACUAUGAAAGUGUUAAAGUUUCCUUUCGAAGUGGAACUUCAACGCUGCGUCAUGAAGUUGAUGCUAUGGGGAACACCCUCAGUGUAUCAGGUGUCUGAAUAUGUGUAACAAACACCAAUUUAUUGGCCGACAGCAGUCACAAGUGGAGCGCCCGUGAGUAUAAGAGGCCACCUGCAAGACACGUCAUCAACAUUUUUGUCUUCAGGAGCCGCUUUGUUUGUAUGCUUGUGUAAGACGAAAAUCUGGAAAAUUGGAGCAAUGCAUUCACUGUAAGAGCUUUUGUUCUUGCUUGAUUCUUUCUUGAGGGAUAUAUCCCUCUCUGGGGGCCAUGAGGAUUGAAGGAGUAAUAUUAGCAGAGAUAGAAGAAACAUUUCUUUGCCCUACCCCCAACCAUGGGGGUGGAAACACAUUAAACCUUGCCAAGCAUCUGUUGCUUGACCAUCCUGACUUGUACAGGGCAUUAAGAGAUCAACAGGUGAGUGCAUCAUUCAAAUGAUCAAAAUAAUUUUUUCGUUUACUUUUAACACUGAUCAAUGCACAUACAUAAACGAUUGAAUCAUUUAAAUAACAGGAAAGAUCCAGGGUGCGUUUGACACGCUAGAACCAAUGAUACCUGAAGGGCUAAUUACUAAGGUUUUUAACACUUUGCAUGCUCUCUUUCUUAAACUGCUCUUAAGAUAACCCUUGGGGUAGAGCAGGAUGAACGGAAUUGUGUUAGGUACUCAAUUUCAUUCAAUUCUCACAAACUCACAAAAUUACCUUAGUUUCGUUUGUCCCCUCCUCAACUAUGGUUGAGUCGGGCCAUAUGCUCCCCUAUUGCUGGGUGUUGUGCAAAAUCUCUUGUUGAUUCAUGCUUGGAGAACCUGGCAAGUCAAGGCAGUUUGCCUGGUGGCCUCCCUACUUGUUAUGGUAGCACUCUAUAAUCAGAUGAGUGCAUGGAGUCUUCUUGUGGUUCCUGAAGAAGAACUUUGCUCAAGUACGGAUGAGAGCUCUUCUCUAUGACUCUGGGGUAAGAGAGCCUAAGCUCCCCUGUGGUUUCCCUAGGGGUUGAGUUGCAAUGGCAAGAUUUUAUGGCUUUUAUUCUAUGACACCCUCAUAUUUGCAUCCCUUCAGAUGAAGUGAAGGUUAUAUUCUCCCCCUUUGGAAGUACUGGUAAAUCGAAGGUUGUAGUUGAAUUACUCCCUAAGGCCUUUGUCAAAGUAUUGACAUAGCUAGCACUUUAUUAGAGCUUUUGCUCUUGGGGACUUUUAGGCUUUUUGCCUGCCUUGCAAGGGAGGGAGGAAGGUUGUAAAGGCAGGGACUUCCCUUGCAAUAGAGCAUAGAAGCUUGGAUAACUUCUCUUGCUAUUAGAGAAAAACAUUGGGCUUAGGUAGUGGCUCCACUUAGCUGUCGCAAUUUCAGUAUCAAUGAGUCGCAAUUUGCGCCCUGAGGGUAGACGCACUCUGACUUCUGCUAAGUGAUCUGUAGAGUCAAUCUAUGCUAUGCCCACUAUGUUUGUGCAUAUCCACAGCUUAGUGAGGCAGGGAUCCCCUAAGCAUAGCCUAGUGGGUAUUGGUUUCCCAUAGCGUCAACUCACAGCGUUGAAGUUCCACUUCAAAAGGGAACGUCUAGGUUACAUAUGUAAACCUAGUUCCGUGAAAAGGGGAAUGAGAUGCUGCGUCCCAUUGCCAUGCAUUGGGUUUGUCUGCAUGUCUGCAGAAAGAAAAACGUGUGACUACAUUGCAUUUGCAGUGGAAACACUAUUCAGUAAAGCACCACCUUCUCAACUAAGUAACCGUUAAUGGACACCUUUUGAGGAAGCGCAUCAAGUGUGUUUUGUUGUAUCAAAACAUGGAUGACAAUCGAAAUCUGAGUUGCUCACUUUACACUUUACAAUUUAAAUUCGUCUCCUUUUGCGUUCGUUCAGAAUAUGGCUUUGUCCAUUCAGUCAUAUUUGUUUCACUCCUGUGAAUGUGAUGUAGGUUAUGACAAAAUAAGUAGGGGUCUUAACAAAAUCCAAUCACAAGGAAUCCCGGGAAAUGCAUGUUAAUACCAGGUGGAAAUGGCACAUCUCAGCAGAGCGCUUGUGAUCAGAUCACCAACAACCUCGUCUAAUACCAUGGCCUAAGCUUGUGUAAAGAAUAGUUAUGAAUAAUCAUGUUAUAAUCAUAGAAUGAUUAAUAAAUUAUAUGCAUUUAUAAUAAUAAACGUAUAGCUUUAAACACUAAACGCAACUUGGUAAACGUGUUAUGAUGUGGAACUUUCAGUUUUUGUCAACUGGAAUGGAUUACAUUUCGUAUGAUGGUUUAUAGAACUUUUUCAUUACAAACUCACAAAAUGUAGUGGUCUUCUAGUUGUCUUUAAUGCACAAUAUACAUCUGCACUAGCAAAAAUAAUGUAUAACAAUGGUUAAUCUAAAAGAUAAUAACAUCAACAGAUAAGCUUGCUUGGACAACAUUUCACAUUGGUCAAAAACUGCACACACAGCUCUGAGAAAAUCAUAAUCAGUCCAAGCUGUAGAAGGGUACUGUGUAGGUGGAUAAGUGCUAUGAGAUUACAAUUCCCCUUCCACCCCUUUUUUCCAUGGAGGUUACAGAAACCGGACGGCUUCUUCUAAGACACACCCAAUUAACCUACAGAGAUGAGGACAGGCCCUGGAACCCCCUACGUGCCUUCAUUUAUUAUACGCCCUCGUAGCAGAGACUUGCACGUUGCUGUGUGGGUGUAUUGUGAAUUCUGGCAGUCAGUGUGUGACCCUUUUUCUGUGUCUAGAGUUCUCUGGGGUUCAGGAUGAAGUGUUUGACCUGGACAGCUGUGAGAAUGGAGCAAUGGUUGGAAAUCAUUAUUACCAGCAGUCACAAACCCUUUCGAAUGUGUUUUGAAAUGUUUCUGUAUUUAAUUAUAAAUGUGAACCCACAAAGAACCAACAGAUUGGAGAAUUCAUAUGUUGCAAAAGGCAUGUCUGAAUGUUUAGGUCAUAAAUCUAAACUCAAACUCUUAUAUUUCUUUCAAGUGCUUUAAUAAACACAGAAUGCUACUGUUGUUGUGUUGGUUAUUAAUGUGGUCUCUUUGUGCACAGGUAAACUGCUCAGAUCUGGACCAGGGCAUCACUGAGCUCCUGGACAGUCUGAGGUGCAACCUGGUGGCAUCGGAUGGACCAAAACAUAAUGUCCCAGAGGUGUUUUAUUGGAUUUAGGUCAGGUGAGCGUGGGGGCCAUUCAAUGGUAUCAAUUCCUUCAUCCUCCAGGAACUGCCUGCACACUCUCGCCACAUGAGGCCGGGCAUUGUCAUGCACCAGGUGGAACCCAGGACCCACUGCACCAGCGUAGGGUCUGACAAUGGGUCCAAGGAUUUCAUCCCGAUACCUAAUGGCAGUCAGGGUGCCAUUGUCUAGCCUGCAGAGGUCUGUGCGUCCAUCCAUGGAUAUGCCUCCCCAGACCAUCACUGACCCACCACCAAACCGGUCAUGCUGAACAAUGUUACAGGCAGCAUAACGUACUCCACGGCUUCUCCAGACCCUUUCAUGUCCGUCACAUGCUCAGGGUGAACCUGCUUUCAUCUGUGAAAAGCACAGGGCACCAGUGGCGGACCUGCCAAUUCUGGUGUUCAAUGGCAAAUGCCAAUCGAGCUCCACGGUGCCGGGCAGUGAUCACAGGGCCCACUAGAGGACGUCGGGCCCUCAGGCCACCCUCAUGAAGUCUGUUUCUGAUUGUUUGGUCAGAGACAUUCACACCAGUGGCCUACUGGAGGUCAUUUUGUAGGGCUCAUCCUGUUCCUCCUUGCACAAAGGAGCAGAUACCAGUCCUGCUGAUGGGUUAAGGACCUUCUACGGCCCUGUCCAGCUCUCCUAGAGUAACUGCCUGUCUCUUGGAAUCUCCUCCAUGCUCUUGAGUCUGUGCUGGGAGACACAGCAAACCUUCUAGCAAUGGGACGUAUUGAUGUGCCAUCCUGGAGGAGUUGGACUGCCUGUGCAACCUCUGUAGGGUCCAGGUGACGCCUCAUGCUACCAGUAAUGACACUGACCCUAGCCAAAUGCAAAACUAGUGAAAAACAGUCAGAAAAGAUAAGUAGGGAAAAAAUGUCACCUGUAAAACCAUUCCUGUUUUGGGGGUUGUCUCAUUGUUGCCCAUCUAGUGCACCUGUUGUUAAUUUCAUUAACACCAAAGCAGCUGAAACUGAUUAACAACCCCCUCUGUUACUUAACUGACCAGAUCAAUAUCCCAGGAGUUUAACUGACUUGAUGCUAUUCUCUGAUUAAAAAGUGUUCCUUUCAUUUUUUUGAGCAGUGUAUAUGUGACUCUAUAACGCCUGUUUGCAUAAAAAUCUCCAAAUCACACUCUGUCUGUCAAAUGGCUCAUUAUGGUGUACACAAGACAGUCAAUUUGAGCCCACAGCCUAAAUGACAUGAAUCAGAGACAGGGAUUUUGCAAUAGUCUAUUCAGAGCUGGUUUUGUAUACAAACAUGCACAAGUCAAGAUGUCAGUUGCAAGCUUGCAAUAAACCCCAUAAGUUAAGAAAA